GCGAAAGCCUGACGCAGCAACGCCGCGUGCGGGAAUGAAGGCCCUCGGGUCGUAAACCGCUUUCAGCAGGGAUGAAGAUGACAGUACCUGCAGAAGAAGCCCCGGCUAAAUACGUGCCAGCAGCCGCGGUAAUACGUAUGGGGCAAGCGUUAUCCGGAUUCAUUGGGCGUAAAGCGCGCGUAGGCGGCUUGUUAAGUCAGGCGUGAAAUCCGGGGGCUCAACCCGCGGCUUGCGUCUGAAACUGGCAGGCUUGAGUCUGGUAGAGGAAAGUGGAAUUCCUGGUGUAGCGGUGAAAUGCGCAGAUAUCAGGAGGAACACCAGUGGCGAAGGCGGCUUUCUGGGCCACGACUGACGCUGAGGCGCGAAAGCUAGGGGAGCGAACAGGAUUAGAUACCCUGGUAGUCCUAGCCGUAAACGAUGGGCACUAGGUGUGGGGGGUCAUCGACUCCCUCCGUGCCGAAGCUAACGCAUUAAGUGCCCCGCCUGGGGAGUACGGCCGCAAGGCUAAAACUCAAAGGAAUGGACGGA
rnacentral:rRNA from 1 species